GCAUGAGUUAUGUCAUGUUAUCGAUAUGUGAAUACAUAGCAUAUCAGAAGGCACACCCGGAGAACUGAAACAUCUUAGUACCCGGAGGAAGAGAAAGAAAAUUCGAUUCCCUUAGUAGCGGCGAGCGAAACGGGAAGAGCCCAAACCAACAAGCUUGCUUGUUGGGGUUGUAGGACACUCUAUACGGAGUUACAAAGGACGACAUUAGACGAAUCAUCUGGAAAGAUGAAUCAAAGAAGGUAAUAAUCCUGUAGUCGAAAAUGUUGUCUCUCUUGAGUGGAUCCUGAGUACGACGGAGCACGUGAAAUUCCGUCGGAAUCUGGGAGGACCAUCUCCUAAGGCUAAAUACUCUCUAGUGACCGAUAGUGAACCAGUACCGUGAGGGAAAGGUGAAAAGCACCCCGGAAGGAGAGUGAAAUAGAACCUGAAACCGUGUGCUUACAAGUAGUCAGAGCCCGUUAAUGGGUGAUGGCGUGCCUUUUGUAGAAUGAACCGGCGAGUUACGAUUUGAUGCAAGGUUAAGCAGUAAAUGUGGAGCCGUAGCGAAAGCGAGUCUGAAUAGGGCGUUUAGUAUUUGGUCGUAGACCCGAAACCAGGUGAUCUACCCUUGGUCAGGUUGAAGUUCAGGUAACACUGAAUGGAGGACCGAACCGACUUACGUUGAAAAGUGAGC
rnacentral:rRNA from 1 species